CUCUCUCCUCCCUGGCAGCCUCAGAUGGCUAGAGCUGAUGAGACAGGCCACCCUUUGCUGGCCUCAUUAUCAGCUCUUCCACCGAAGUGCGCCGAGCACAGGGGGAAGCUGAGCCACCAGAGAGAAUUGCCUGGCCCUAUGCCUAAGGACUCACAAGACUUCUCUCUUAGCCCCUGACCAGCUGGACUCCUGUCUGCUCUCACCUUGAGGACCCCAGUCUGGAUCAAGGUCAUUCCUUCAAUGGCAGAAAUGGCACCAUGACUUCAAGACCUGCAGAAGCUAGUGCUCUUGAGAGUGGCUAGUUAGCCCAACACUUAAGUUUCUCUGUGGCUUUUAGCUGCAUGAGGGGCAUUAUGCUUCGGUAUGACUUCCAUUUAAGACUCUUCAAACCCAUCAACCAUCCCUCAAGCAUAUCUCUGUCACUGGUACU
rnacentral:lncRNA from 1 species